GUCCUAGCCGUAAACGAUGAGUACUAGGUGUGGGGGUUAACACCUCCGUGCCGACGCCAACGCAUUAAGUACUCCGCCUGGGGACUACGGCCGCAAGGUUAAAACUCAAAGGAAUUGACGGGGGCCCGCACAAGCAGUGGAGCAUGUGGUUCAAUUCGAUGCAACGCGAGGAACCUUACCUGGGCUUGACAUCCCGUGCAAUCCGUGGAAACACGGGUUUCGCCGCAAGGCGACGCGGAGACAGGUGGUGCAUGGCUGUCGU
rnacentral:rRNA from 1 species